rnacentral:rRNA from 1 species
GAGUUUGAUCUUGGCUCAGGACGAACGCUGGCGGCGUGCUUAACACAUGCAAGUCGAACGGAAAGGCCCUGCUUUUGUGGGGUGCUCGAGUGGCGAACGGGUGAGUAACACGUGAGUAACCUGCCCUUGACUUUGGGAUAACUUCAGGAAACUGGGGCUAAUACCGGAUAGGAGCUCCUGCUGCAUGGUGGGGGUUGGAAAGUUUCGGCGGUUGGGAUGGACUCGCGGCUUAUCAGCUUGUUGGUGGGGUAGUGGCUUACCAAGGCUUUGACGGGUAGCCGGCCUGAGAGGGUGACCGGCCACAUUGGGACUGAGAUACGGCCCAGACUCCUACGGGAGGCAGCAGUGGGGAAUAUUGCACAAUGGGCGGAAGCCUGAUGCAGCAACGCCGCGUGCGGGAUGACGGCCUCGGUGU